UACGGGGGGGGGCAAGCGUUGUUCGGAAUUACUGGGCGUAAAGGGCGUGUAGGCGGCCACCGCAAGUCGGUUGUGAAAUCUCCGGGCUUAACCCGGAAAGGUCAACCGAUACUGCGGGGCUAGAGUGCAGAAGGGGCAACUGGAAUUCUCGGUGUAGCGGUGAAAUGCGUAGAUAUCGAGAGGAACACCUGCGGCGAAGGCGGGUUGCUGGGCUGACACUGACGCUGAAACGCGAAAGCUAGGGGAGCGAACGGG
rnacentral:rRNA from 1 species